CCUUAGCUGUUGUACUCCACAGUACUUGUCCAAGACCUUCUGCAAUUUUUGUUUGUCUGCUGCUGACAACACAACGUUCUUGCCAUAUGGCAAAUACCUUGUACUGUGUCCUUUCAGAUGUGCAGUGCAGACAACAGAUUUGUGCUUGCAGCUAUCGUGUGACCCCGAGAAACAAUCUAGAACAUUAGUGACUGCUUCUCGAGCCCGGGCAAGGUACAACUCGUCCCCACGCAGAAGCUUCCUCAGUCUGGUGCGAAAACUUGAGGUGCGGUGUCACAUCCAGCUUGUGGUCUGCUUGUAUACGUGACAUCAAACUCCACAUCUGUUUCACCGGAACACCCAGCAAGGCUGUGGUACUGUUUGACGUGGUCGCAGUUUAAAAGGGAGAACGAGUGGAUCUCGAGAACGGUUACACGCAUUCAAGACAUCGUUAGCCACAGAAUCACCCAAUCGCACGACACUUUCCAGGUCAGGGUCUAAAUUCAACGGAAUGGAAUCUUGAUCUUGUUUCUUUACACAGCGCACAUGACUGCUGUUAUAGUUUGGAAAUACUCCUUUUUUGAAAAGUGCACCUUUGUUUUUCCUAGCGCGAUUGUUUUUAUAACUGUGCUGUGAUUUCUUAUGAAGUGAUCUCAUUUUGAAUGGUAUUUUAUCCAAGGUGUUUUAAAAGAUACAUCUGCUCAACACUAUAGACUUGUAAACAAUAAGGCCACUUCAUUGUUUUAGAAAAUUCUGGUCUUUUUUAUCUACAUAAUGAGUGCAGCAGAGUCAGGUGUCCAGAUAGUGUUUGUUUUAUUGUACCAAUUAGUACACAUGCAAAUACAGAGGAGUCAAACUUGUAUAUGGACAUAGGAUUUAGCUC